CUCCUAAGGCUAAAUACUCUCUAGUGACCGAUAGUGAACCAGUACCGUGAGGGAAAGGUGAAAAGCACCCCGGAAGGGGAGUGAAAUAGAACCUGAAACCGUGUGCUUACAAGUAGUCAGAGCCCGUUAAUGGGUGAUGGCGUGCCUUUUGUAGAAUGAACCGGCGAGUUACGAUUUGAUGCAAGGUUAAGCAGUAAAUGUGGAGCCGUAGCGAAAGCGAGUCUGAAUAGGGCGUUUAGUAUUUGGUCGUAGACCCGAAACCAGGUGAUCUACCCUUGGUCAGGUUGAAGUUCAGGUAACACUGAAUGGAGGACCGAACCGACUUACGUUGAAAAGUGAGCGGAUGAACUGAGGGUAGCGGAGAAAUUCCAAUCGAACCUGGAGAUAGCUGGUUCUCUCCGAAAUAGCUUUAGGGCUAGCCUCAAGUGAUGAUUAUUGGAGGUAGAGCACUGUUUGGACGAGGGGCCCCUCUCGGGUUACCGAAUUCAGACAAACUCCGAAUGCCAAUUAAUUUAACUUGGGAGUCAGAACAUGGGUGAUAAGGUCCGUGUUCGAAAGGGAAACAGCCCAGACCACCAGCUAAGGUCCCAAAAUAUAUGUUAAGUGGAAAAGGAUGUGGCGUUGCCCAGACAACUAGGAUGUUGGCUUAGAAGCAGCCAUCAUUUAAAGAGUGCGUAAUAGCUCACUAGUCGAGUGACACUGCGCCGAAAAUGUACCGGGGCUAAACAUAUUACCGAAGCUGUGGAUUGUCCUUUGGACAAUGGUAGGAGAGCGUUCUAAGGGCGUUGAAGCAUGAUCGUAAGGACAUGUGGAGCGCUUAGAAGUGAGAAUGCCGGUGUGAGUAGCGAAAGACGGGUGAGAAUCCCGUCCACCGAUUGACUAAGGUUUCCAGAGGAAGGCUCGUCCGCUCUGGGUUAGUCGGGUCCUAAGCUGAGGCCGACAGGCGUAGGCGAUGGAUAACAGGUUGAUAUUCCUGUACCACCUAUAAUCGUUUUAAUCGAUGGGGGGACGCAGUAGGAUAGGCGAAGCGUGCGAUUGGAUUGCACGUCUAAGCAGUAAGGCUGAGUAUUAGGCAAAUCCGGUACUCGUUAAGGCUGAGCUGUGAUGGGGAGAAGACAUUGUGUCUUCGAGUCGUUGAUUUCACACUGCCGAGAAAAGCCUCUAGAUAGAAAAUAGGUGCCCGUACCGCAAACCGACACAGGUAGUCAAGAUGAGAAUUCUAAGGUGAGCGAGCGAACUCUCGUUAAGGAACUCGGCAAAAUGACCCCGUAACUUCGGGAGAAGGGGUGCUCUUUAGGGUUAACGCCCAGAAGAGCCGCAGUGAAUAGGCCCAAGCGACUGUUUAUCAAAAACACAGGUCUCUGCUAAACCGUAAGGUGAUGUAUAGGGGCUGACGCCUGCCCGGUGCUGGAAGGUUAAGAGGAGUGGUUAGCUUCUGCGAAGCUACGAAUCGAAGCCCCAGUAAACGGCGGCCGUAACUAUAACGGUCCUAAGGUAGCGAAAUUCCUUGUCGGGUAAGUUCCGACCCGCACGAAAGGCGUAACGAUUUGGGCACUGUCUCAACGAGAGACUCGGUGAAAUCAUAGUACCUGUGAAGAUGCAGGUUACCCGCGACAGGACGGAAAGACCCCGUGGAGCUUUACUGUAGCCUGAUAUUGAAAUUCGGCACAGCUUGUACAGGAUAGGUAGGAGCCUUUGAAACGUGAGCGCUAGCUUACGUGGAGGCGCUGGUGGGAUACUACCCUAGCUGUGUUGGCUUUCUAACCCGCACCACUUAUCGUGGUGGGAGACAGUGUCAGGCGGGCAGUUUGACUGGGGCGGUCGCCUCCUAAAAGGUAACGGAGGCGCUCAAAGGUUCCCUCAGAAUGGUUGGAAAUCAUUCAUAGAGUGUAAAGGCAUAAGGGAGCUUGACUGCGAGACCUACAAGUCGAGCAGGGUCGAAAGACGGACUUAGUGAUCCGGUGGUUCCGCAUGGAAGGGCCAUCGCUCAACGGAUAAAAGCUACCCCGGGGAUAACAGGCUUAUCUCCCCCAAGAGUUCACAUCGACGGGGAGGUUUGGCACCUCGAU
rnacentral:rRNA from 1 species